UACGUAGGGUGCAAGCGUUAAUCGGAAUUACUGGGCGUAAAGCGUGCGCAGGCGGUUUUGUAAGUUUGUCGUGAAAUCCCCGGGCUCAACCUGGGAAUGGCGAUGAAGACUGCAAGGCUAGAAUCUGGCAGAGGGGGGGUAGAAUUCCACGUGUAGCAGUGAAAUGCGUAGAGAUGUGGAGGAACACCGAUGGCGAAGGCAGCCCCCCUGGGUCAAGAUUG
rnacentral:rRNA from 1 species